rnacentral:rRNA from 1 species
UACGAAGGGUGCAAACGUUGCUCGGAAUCAUUGGGCGUAAAGCGCACGUAGGCGGCCUGUUAAGUCGGAUGUGAAAUCCCUCGGCUCAACCGAGGACGUGCAUUCGAAACUGGCAGGCUCGAGUAUGGAAGAGGGUCGCGGAAUUCCCGGUGUAGAGGUGAAAUUCGUAGAUAUCGGGAGGAACACCAGUGGCGAAGGCGGCGACCUGGGCCAAUACUGACGCUGAGGUGCGAAAGCCAGGGGAGCAAACGGG